rnacentral:rRNA from 1 species
AACUGGGAUUAGAUACCCCACUAUGCUCAGCUGUAAACCUAGACGUUCUACUACAAUUAAACGUCCGCCCGGGUACUACGAGCAUUAGCUUGAAACCCAAAGGACCUGACGGUGCCUUAGACCCCCCUAGAGGAGCCUGUUCUAGAACCGAUAACCCCCGUUAAACCUCACCGCUUCUAGCCACCCCAGCCUAUAUACCGCCGUCGUCAGCUUACCCUGUGAAGGCAACAAAAGUAAGCAGAAUGGGCACAACCCAGAACGUCAGGUCGAGGUGUAGCGUACGGAGCGGGAAGAAAUGGGCUACAUUUUCUAUUAACAGAACACUACGGACAUGCAACAUGAAAUAGUGCUUGAAGGAGGAUUUAGUAGUAAAGAGGAAGCAGAGUGUCCUUUUGAACCCGGCUCUGAGGCGCGUACACACCGCCCGUCACUCUCCC